UGGGGAAUAUUGGACAAUGGGCGAAAGCCUGAUCCAGCCAUGCCGCGUGUGUGAAGAAGGUCUUCGGAUUGUAAAGCACUUUAAGUUGGGAGGAAGGGCAGUAAGCGAACACCUUGCUGUUUUGACGUUACCGACAGAAUAAGCACCGGCUAACUCUGUGCCAGCAGCCGCGGUAAUACAGAGGGUGCAAGCGUUAAUCGGAAUUACUGGGCGUAAAGCGCGCGUAGGUGGUUCGUUGAGUUGAAUGUGAAAGCCCCGGGCUCAACCUUGGAACUGCGGCCAAGACUGGCGGGCUAGAGUAGGGCAGAGGGGGGUGGAAUUUCCUGUGUAGCGGUGAAAUGCGUAGAUAUUGGGAGGAACACCAGGGGCGAAGGCGACCACCUGGGCUCAUACUGACGCUGAGGUGCGAAAGCGUGGGGAGCAAACAGG
rnacentral:rRNA from 1 species